rnacentral:rRNA from 1 species
AACGCGAAGAACCUUACCUACCCUUGACAUGUCAGGAACUCUGCAGAAAUGCAGAGGUGCCCGAAAGGGAACCUGAACACAGGUGCUGCAUGGCUGUCGUCAGCUCGUGUCGUGAGAUGUUGGGUUAAGUCCCGCAACGAGCGCAACCCUUGUCAUUAGUUGCUACAUUCAGUUGAGCACUCUAAUGAGACUGCCGGUGACAAACCGGAGGAAGGUGGGGAUGACGUCAAGUCCUCAUGGCCCUUAUGGGUAGGGCUACACACGUCAUACAAUGGCGCGUACAGAGGGUUGCCAACCCGCGAGGGGGAGCCAAUCCCAGAAAGCGCGUCGUAGUCCGGAUUGAAGUCUGCAACUCGACUUCAUGAAGUCGGAAUCGCUAGUAAUCGCGGAUCAGCAUGUCGCGGUGAAUACGUUCCCGGGCCUUGUACACACCGGUAUCUC